rnacentral:lncRNA from 1 species
UGAUGAUGAUGAUGACAAGAUUAAAUCUCUCAAGGACUGGGAGCAAAGUGAUGAUGACAAUAUUGACAGUUUUUCAGAGGAUGGAGGAGGAGAAGAUGAGGAUGGAGGAGGAGAAAAUGAAGAUGGUGAUAUUGAUAGUGAAGAUGAAAAAGAAGAUGAUAUCGGCAUAUGUGUGGAGACGACAAACUAUAAGAAGCCAUCAGGAAGUAAGGGAAAGCAAAAGGAUAGUUUGAAUGCUGGCAAAGUGAAAGAAAAUAUCAAAA